rnacentral:rRNA from 1 species
UGCGCGGCUUACCAUGCAAGUCGAGCGGUAACAGGGGGUGCUUGCACCCCGCUGACGAGCGGCGGACGGGUGAGUAAUGCAUAGGAAUCUGCCCAGUAGUGGGGGAUAGCCCGGGGAAACCCGGAUUAAUACCGCAUACGCCCUUUGGGGGAAAGCAGGGGAUCUUCGGACCUUGCGCUAUUGGAUGAGCCUAUGUCGGAUUAGCUAGUUGGUGGGGUAAAGGCCUACCAAGGCGACGAUCCGUAGCUGGUCUGAGAGGAUGAUCAGCCACAUCGGGACUGAGACACGGCCCGAACUCCUACGGGAGGCAGCAGUGGGGAAUAUUGGACAAUGGGGGCAACCCUGAUCCAGCCAUGCCGCGUGUGUGAAGAAGGCUUUCGGGUUGUAAAGCACUUUCAGUGAGGAGGAAAACCUUCUGGUUAAUACCCAUGAGGCUUGACGUUACUCACAGAAGAAGCACCGGCUAACUCCGUGCCAGCAGCCGCGGUAAUACGGAGGGUGCAAGCGUUAAUCGGAAUUACUGGGCGUAAAGCGCGCGUAGGUGGUUUGAUAAGCGAGAUGUGAAAGCCCCGGGCUUAACCUGGGAACGGCAUUUCGAACUGUCAGGCUA